CAGUAGCCGCGGUAAAACGUAGGGUGCGAGCGUUAAUCGGAAUUACUGGGCGUAAAGCGUGCGUAGGCGGUUUGUUAAGUCUGUUGUGAAAUCCCCGGGCUCAACCUGGGAAUGGCAAUGGAUACUGGCAAGCUAGAGUGUGUCAGAGGAUGGUGGAAUUCCCGGUGUAGCGGUGAAAUGCGUAGAGAUAGGGAGGGACAUCAGUGGCGAAGGCGGCCAUCUGGGACAACACUGACGCUGAGGCACGAAAGCGUGGGGAGCAAACAGGAUUAGAUACCCCCGUAGUCCCUGUCUCUUAUAA
rnacentral:rRNA from 1 species